AAGAUUGCCUUAGUAGCGGCGAGUGAAGCGGCAAAAGCUCAAAUUUGAAAUCUGGCACCUUCGGUGUCCGAGUUGUAAUUUGAAGAUUGUAACCUUGGGGUUGGCUCUUGUCUAUGUUUCUUGGAACAGGACGUCACAGAGGGUGAGAAUCCCGUGCGAUGAGAUGCCCAAUCCUAUGUAAGGUGCUUUCGAAGAGUCGAGUUGUUUGGGAAUGCAGCUCUAAGUGGGUGGUAAAUUCCAUCUAAAGCUAAAUAUUGGCGAGAGACCGAUAGCGAACAAGUACAGUGAUGGAAAGAUGAAAAGAACUUUGAAAAGAGAGUGAAAAAGUACGUGAAAUUGUUGAAAGGGAAGGGUUUGAGAUCAGACUCGAUAUUUUGUGAGCCUUGCCUUCGUGGCGGGGUGACCCGCAGCUUAUCGGGCCAGCAUCGGUUUGGGCGGUAGGAUAAUGGCGUAGGAAUGUGACUUUGCUUCGGUGAAGUGUUAUAGCCUGCGUUGAUGCUGCCUGCCUAGACCGAGGACUGCGAUUUUAUCAAGGAUGCUGGCAUAAUGAUCCCAAACCGCCCGUCUGAAA
rnacentral:rRNA from 1 species